AGGAAAAGAAAUCAACCGAGAUUCCCCCAGUAGCGGCGAGCGAACGGGGAGGAGCCCAGAGCCUGAAUCAGUGUGUGUGUUAGUGGAAGCGUCUGGAAAGGCGCGCGAUACAGGGUGACAGCCCCGUACACAAAAAUGCACACGUUGUGAGCUCGAUGAGUAGGGCGGGACACGUGGUAUCCUGUCUGAAUAUGGGGGGACCAUCCUCCAAGGCUAAAUACUCCUGACUGACCGAUAGUGAACCAGUACCGUGAGGGAAAGGCGAAAAGAACCCCGGCGAGGGGAGUGAAAAAGAACCUGAAACCGUGUACGUACAAGCAGUGGGAGCCUCUUAAUGGGGUGACUGCGUACCUUUUGUAUAAUGGGUCAGCGACUUAUAUUCUGUAGCAAGGUUAACCGAAUAGGGGAGCCGAAGGGAAACCGAGUCUUAACUGGGCGUUAAGUUGCAGGGUAUAGACCCGAAACCCGGUGAUCUAGCCAUGGGCAGGUUGAAGGUUGGGUAACACUAACUGGAGGACCGAACCGACUAAUGUUGAAAAAUUAGCGGAUGACUUGUGGCUGGGGGUGAAAGGCCAAUCAAACCGGGAGAUAGCUGGUUCUCCCCGAAAGCUAUUUAGGUAGCGCCUCGUGAAUUCAUCUCCGGGGGUAGAGCACUGUUUCGGCAAGGGGGUCAUCCCGACUUACCAACCCGAUGCAAACUGCGAAUACCGGAGAAUGUUAUCACGGGAGACACACGGCGGGUGCUAACGUCCGUCGUGAAGAGGGAAACAACCCAGACCGCCAGCUAAGGUCCCAAAGUCAUGGUUAAGUGGGAAACGAUGUGGGAAGGCCCAGACAGCCAGGAUGUUGGCUUAGAAGCAGCCAUCAUUUAAAGAAAGCGUAAUAGCUCACUGGUCGAGUCGGCCUGCGCGGAAGAUGUAACGGGGCUAAACCAUGCACCGAAGCUGCGGCAGCGACACUAUGUGUUGUUGGGUAGGGGAGCGUUCUGUAAGCCUGUGAAGGUAGCCUGUGAGGGUUGCUGGAGGUAUCAGAAGUGCGAAUGCUGACAUAAGUAACGAUAAAGCGGGUGAAAAGCCCGCUCGCCGGAAGACCAAGGGUUCCUGUCCAACGUUAAUCGGGGCAGGGUGAGUCGACCCCUAAGGCGAGGCCGAAAGGCGUAGUCGAUGGGAAACAGGUUAAUAUUCCUGUACUUGGUGUUACUGCGAAGGGGGGACGGAGAAGGCUAUGUUGGCCGGGCGACGGUUGUCCCGGUUUAAGCGUGUAGGCUGGUUUUCCAGGCAAAUCCGGAAAACCAAGGCUGAGGCGUGAUGACGAGGCACUACGGUGCUGAAGCGACAAAUGCCCUGCUUCCAGGAAAAGCCUCUAAGCAUCAGGUAACAUCAAAUCGUACCCCAAACCGACACAGGUGGUCAGGUAGAGAAUACCAAGGCGCUUGAGAGAACUCGGGUGAAGGAACUAGGCAAAAUGGUGCCGUAACUUCGGGAGAAGGCACGCUGAUAUGUAGGUGAAGCGACUUGCUCGUGGAGCUGAAAUCAGUCGAAGAUACCAGCUGGCUGCAACUGUUUAUUAAAAACACAGCACUGUGCAAACACGAAAGUGGACGUAUACGGUGUGACGCCUGCCCGGUGCCGGAAGGUUAAUUGAUGGGGUUAGCGGUAACGCGAAGCUCUUGAUCGAAGCCCCGGUAAACGGCGGCCGUAACUAUAACGGUCCUAAGGUAGCGAAAUUCCUUGUCGGGUAAGUUCCGACCUGCACGAAUGGCGUAAUGAUGGCCAGGCUGUCUCCACCCGAGACUCAGUGAAAUUGAACUCGCUGUGAAGAUGCAGUGUACCCGCGGCAAGACGGAAAGACCCCGUGAACCUUUACUAUAGCUUGACACUGAACAUUGAGCCUUGAUGUGUAGGAUAGGUGGGAGGCUUUGAAGUGUGGACGCCAGUCUGCAUGGAGCCGACCUUGAAAUACCACCCUUUAAUGUUUGAUGUUCUAACGUUGGCCCCUAAUCGGGGUUGCGGACAGUGUCUGGUGGGUAGUUUGACUGGGGCGGUCUCCUCCUAAAGAGUAACGGAGGAGCACGAAGGUUGGCUAAUCCUGGUCGGACAUCAGGAGGUUAGUGCAAUGGCAUAAGCCAGCUUGACUGCGAGCGUGACGGCGCGAGCAGGUGCGAAAGCAGGUCAUAGUGAUCCGGUGGUUCUGAAUGGAAGGGCCAUCGCUCAACGGAUAAAAGGUACUCCGGGGAUAACAGGCUGAUACCGCCCAAGAGUUCAUAUCGACGGCGGUGUUUGGCACCUCGAUGUCGGCUCAUCACAUCCUGGGGCUGAAGUAGGUCCCAAGGGUAUGGCUGUUCGCCAUUUAAAGUGGUACGCGAGCUGGGUUUAGAACGUCGUGAGACAGUUCGGUCCCUAUCUGCCGUGGGCGCUGGAGAACUGAGGGGGGCUGCUCCUAGUACGAGAGGACCGGAGUGGACGCAUCACUGGUGUUCGGGUUGUCAUGCCAAUGGCACUGCCCGGUAGCUAAAUGCGGAAGAGAUAAGUGCUGAAAGCAUCUAAGCACGAAACUUGCCCCGAGAUGAGUUCUCCCUGACUCCUUGAGAGUCCUGAAGGAACGUUGAAGACGACGACGUUGAUAGGCCGGGUGUGUAAGCGCAGCGAUGCGUUGAGCUAACCGGUACUAAUGAACCGUGAGGCUUAACCUU
rnacentral:rRNA from 2 species